rnacentral:rRNA from 1 species
UACGUAGGGAGCUAGCGUUGUUCGGAAUUACUGGGCGUAAAGCGCACGUAGGCGGCUUUUUAAGUCAGGGGUGAAAUCCCGGGGCUCAACCCCGGAACUGCCCUUGAAACUGGAAAGCUAGAAUCUUGGAGAGGCGAGUGGAAUUCCGAGUGUAGAGGUGAAAUUCGUAGAUAUUCGGAAGAACACCAGUGGCGAAGGCGACUCGCUGGACAAGUAUUGACGCUGAGGUGCGAAAGCGUGGGGAGCAAACAGG